UGGGGAAUAUUGGACAAUGGGCGCAAGCCUGAUCCAGCCAUGCCGCGUGGAUGACGAAGGCCCUAGGGUUGUAAAGUCCUUUCGCACGCGACGAUGAUGACGGUAGCGUGAGAAGAAGCCCCGGCCAACUUCGUGCCAGCAGCCGCGGUAAUACGAAGGGGCUAGCGUUGUUCGGAAUCACUGGGCGUAAAGGGCGCGUAGGCGGCCACCCAAGUCAGGCGUGAAAGCCCCGGGCUCAACCUGGGAACCGCGCUUGAGACUGGUUGGCUCGAGUUCCGGAGAGGUGGGUGGAAUUCCCAGUGUAGAGGUGAAAUUCGUAGAUAUUGGGAAGAACACCGGUGGCGAAGGCGGCCCACUGGACGGACACUGACGCUGAGGCGCGAAAAGCGUGGGGAGCAAAACAGGAUUAGAUACCCUGGUAGUCCACGCCGUAAAACGAUGUCGGCUAGGCGCUGGGUUCCCUAGGAACUCGGUGCCGCAGCUAACGCAUUAAGCCGACCGCCUGGGGAGUACGGCCGCAAGGUUGAAACUUAAAUGAAUUGACGGGGUCAUAGCUGUUUCCU
rnacentral:rRNA from 1 species